rnacentral:rRNA from 1 species
AUGUUUUGUUUGACAUGGAACUGCAGCGGAAUGGGGGGUUCCAGGACGAUCCGUGACCUUGUGUCACUCAAUCAAAUACAUCGUCCUUAGUUCAUAUUCUUGUGUGAAACGAGACAAAACAAGGAGAAGGUCAGACGCUUGUGUGGCAGACUUGGGCUGAGAGGUUUUGUCGGAGUCAGUAGUGAAGGUUUCAGUGGAGGGCUGGCCCUCUUCUGGGAUGAGAAGAUG